AGGAAGGGGUUGUUUCCUCUAGGCUCUGGAAGGCUGUGAAGUGUGUUUUCUGCUGCUGUUGCCACUGUAGUGCAGUGAACGUUGUGGAGCCUUUUGUUCCUCCAGCAGAUCUGGAGCCGGAGCCUGAUCCUGAUCCACAAUCUCCUGCUCCUGAUCACUCCGGCGUCAAGACAAAUAAUGAGUCCUUUGAGUCAUUCCGUUAUAAAGAUCAUUGGAUCCGGAGGAUUUGGCAGGGUGUACCAGGGAACACGCAAAUUUGAUGGCAAAAAGGUUGCCAUCAAGCGGAUCCGCAAGAUUGACAACAAUCGCUAUCUUAUUAUUGU